AUACGUAGGUGACAAGCGUUAUCCGGAUUUACUGGGUGUAAAGGGCGUGUAGGCGGUUUAGCAAGUCAGAAGUGAAAUUCCCGGGCUUAACUUGGGCGCUGCUUCUGAAACUGCUUUACUUGAGUGCUGGAGAGGAUAGUGGAAUUCCUAGUGUAGCGGUAAAAUGCGCAGAUAUUAGGAGGAACACCGGUGGCGAAGGCGGCUAUCUGGACAGUAACUGACGCUGAGGCGCGAAAGCACGGGGAGCAAACAGGAUUAGAUACCCUGGUAGUCCGUGCUGUAAACGAUGAAUACUAGGUGUAGGGGGUAUCGACUCCCUCUGUGCCGCAGUUAACACAUUAAGUAUUCCACCUGGGGAGUACGGCCGCAAGGUUGAAACUCAAAUGAAUUGACGGGG
rnacentral:rRNA from 1 species